UCUCACCUUCCCGUUGGGGCUGGCUUUCUUGAACACUCUGCAAUGGGAAACAAAGGGGGACGGCAGGUUAAUGGGGGGCACCAGGGAGCAGCUGCACUACAGGGAUGAGUGCGGCCGUGCAAGGAGAUGAGCAAGGUGUGCAAGGAGAUGAGCAAGGUGUGCAAGGAGAUGAGCAAGGAGAUGAGCAAGGUGUGCAAGGAGCUGUGCAAGGUGUGCAAGGAGAUGAGCAAGGAGAUGUGCAAGGAGCUGUGCAUGGAGCUGUGCAAGGUGUGCAAGGAGCUGAGCAAGGAGCUGUGCAAGGAGCUGAGCAAGGUGUGCAAGGAGCUGUGCAAGGAGCUGUGCAAGGAGCUGUGCAAGGUGUGCAAGGAGCUGGUGCUCUGCAGUGGCAUGAGUGUGCAAGGAGCUGUGCAAGGUGUGCAAGGAGAUGAGCAAGGAGCUGGUGCUCUGCAGUGGCAUGAGUGUGCAAGGUGCUGUGCAAGGUGCCAUGCAAAGGCCCCGCCAUGCAAGGAGCUGUGCAAGGAGCUGUGCAUAAGCCCUGCUGUGCAAGGUGCUGGUGCUGUGCAAUGGCCUGACAGUGCAAAGGAGCUGUGCAAGGAGCUGCUGCUGUGCAAGGAGCUGAGCAACAAUCUGGCUGUGCAAGGAGCUGUGCAAGGAGCUGAGCAAAGGCCCUGCUGUGCAAGGUGCUGUGCAAGGAGCUGCUGCUGUGCAAGGAGCUGCGCAAGCUGUUAUGCAACAUGCAAAGGCCCUGCUGGGCAAGGUGCUGGUACUGUGCAAGGUGCUGUGCAAGGAGCUGUGCAUGGAGCUGUGCAAGGUGCUGUGCAAGCUGUUAUGCAACAUGCAAAGGCCCUGCUGUGCAAGGUGCUGGUGCUGUGCAAAGCCCAGCUGUGCAAGGUGCUGUGCAAGGUGCAAAGCCCUGCUGUGCAAGGUGCUGUGCAAGGUGCUGUGCAAGCUCCUGUGCAUUGUGCAACAUGCAACACAAAGGGCUGGACCUGCAAGGAGCUGAGCAAAGUGCGAGGAGCUGAGCAAGGUCCUGAUGUCCCUAUAUCCCAAUGUCCCCAUGUCCCUAUAUCCCCAUGUCCCUAUAUCCCCAUGUCCCCAUAUCCCCAUAUCCCAAUGUCCCUAUAUCCCAAUGUCCCCCAAUGUCCCUAUAUCCCAAUGUCCCUAUAUCCCAAUGUCCCCCAGUGUCCCUAUACCCCAAUGUCCCUAUAUCCCAAUGUCCCUAUAUCCCUAUGUCCCUAUAUCCCAAUGUCCCUAUAUCCCAAUGUCCCCCUAUGUCCCUAUGUCCCAAUGUCCCUAUGUCCCAAUGUCCCUAUAUCCCUAUAUCCCAAUGUCCCUAUAUCCCUAUGUUCCUAUAUCCCAAUGUCCCUAUAUCCCUAUGUCCCUAUAUCCCUAUGUACCUACAUCCCCAUGUCCCUAUAUCCCAAUGUCCCUAUAUCCCAAUGUCCCCAUGUCCCUAUAUCCCAAUGUCCCAAUGUCCCCAUAUCCCAAUGUCCCCCAAUGUCCCCAUAUCCCAAUGUCCCUAUAUCCCAAUGUCCCAAUGUCCCUAUAUCCCAAUGUCCCCCUAUAUCCCUAUAUCCCAAUGUCCCCCUAUAUCCCUAUAUCCCUAUAUCCCAAUGUCCCUAUAUCCCCAUAUCCCCAUGUCCCUAUAUCCCUACAUCCCAAUGUCCCUAUAUCCCCAUGUCCCAAUGUCCCUAUAUCUCAUUUCCCAGUGUCCCUAUACCCCCAUGUCCCUAUAUCCCAACGUCCCAAUGUCCCUAUGUCCCUAUAUCCCUCUGUCCCUAUAUCCCAAUGUCCCUAUAUCCCAAUGUCCCUAUAUCCCAAUGUCCCCCUAUGUCCCUAUAUCCCUCUGUCCCUAUAUCCCAAUGUCCCUAUAUCCCUCUGUCCCUAUAUCCCAAUGUCCCUGUAUCCCUAUGUCCCACUGUCCCUAUAUCCCAAUGUCCCUAUAUCCCACUGUCCCUAUAUCCCAAUGUCCCCCUAUAUCCCAAUGUCCCUAUAUCCCAAUGUCCCUAUAUCCCUAUAUCCCAAUGUCCCUAUAUCCCACUGUCCCUAUAUCCCAAUGUCCCUAUAUCCCUAUAUCCCUAUAUCCCAAUGUCCCUAUAUCCCAAUGUCCCCCAAUGUCCCAAUGUCCCUAUAUCCCAAUGUCCCCAUAUCCCAUAUCCCCAUGUCCCUAUGUUCCCAUAGCCCACGUCCCUAUAAUCCUAUAUCCCCAUGUCUCCAUAUCCCUAUAUCCCCAUGUCCCUAUAUCCCCAUACCCCUAUAUCCAAUGACCCCAUAUUCCUAUGCACCCAUGUUCCCAUAACCCCAUGGCCCUAUAUCCCCAUGUCCAUAUAUUGCCAUACCCCCAU
rnacentral:lncRNA from 1 species